UCUGACGGAGCGACGCCGCGUGAGCGAAGAAGGCCUUCGGGUCGUAAAGCUCUGUUGUUAGGGAAGAACAAGUACCGUUCGAAUAGGGCGGUACCUUGCCGGUACCUAACGAGAAAGCCCCGGCUAACUACUUGCCACCAGCCGCGGUAU
rnacentral:rRNA from 1 species